GUCUGUGAACUAGAUAUCAUCUUUAAUUUUGAGAAGGCUUAUUUUAUUUUGGAUGAGUUUCUUUUGGGAGGGGAAGUUCAGGAAACAUCCAAGAAAAAUGUCCUUAAAGCAAUUGAGCAGGCCGAUCUACUGCAGGAGAGUUUCUUUUCUUCUUGAAGGAUGUUUUUCCAGUGAAGAGGGGUUUCUCCCUAUGAAGAGUAUUCUCACAUUUAAUAGAUGCCACGUCAUGAAUAUUUUAAUGUCCCUGUGUACUAAAUGACUACUCAUCGAGUAUGCAGAAUUUCACAGAGGAAAUAGAAUGCUGAUAUACAUAUGAAAGAAAAUAUCCUCAGCAUGGUGAUUUAUUGUCUUGUAUAAUAAUAGUAGAACAUUUUAGAACUAGUACUUUUAUGAUUGUAUUUUUUUCCUGUUCACAUUCCAAACUUUUCUGUUUUAUUUUCAUUCUAUAUGUGAUCUUGAUACAGCUCAUUCCUUUCUGCAACUGAUUUAAUCUCAUCUUGACAAAAUAUGACCUAGAAGUGUUUUGAGUAAUAUUAAAUCUUAAACACAUACAUAUUAUUAAUGAACCAUCUGUGAUUUAUCUUAUAAGAGGAAAACAUGACAAUCAUUAAAAUGUUUACCAAAGAAAAUAUAGCUGAAGUGCUAGGUCAAAAUAAGCAGUGCCAUAAUAUAUAGUGUAGUU
rnacentral:sRNA from 1 species